UGGGGUGGGAGGUGCGGGCGGGAUGCUGGCACCGCUGGGCGGCCGGCACGCCCGUGUCUGCUCCGCUCCUGCUGCUGCUGCCCUGGAGAGCCAUUUCCUCGUGGCAGAACACCUCGGCGGCGCUAUCAGCGGUGACGCGUUUCCAGUAAAAUAUAAAAGCAGUCCCAGCAUUUCAAGGCAAUUACACAGAAGGGUCAAGAGAUAGAGGCCGGCACAGAGGAGCUGGACAACAUCACAUCUCCUAAUGCAUUGGGAUAACAUGACAAGGCUCUCCAUCACGCUGUGCAGGGAACAUCGGAAGGGAGCAGCACAAGCGGGCGUCCUCCCAUAGAGCAGGAAGGAGCCACUUGGUCUCUUGAACUUUCCCCUCUGAUUGAAGAUCCUUCUCAGGGUUUUGGCCAUUUCUCCAUCUCAUGCAGACAACGCUCCGAGUGACGGCGCUGAUGUUUCAUCUGUGAUGCAGCAUGGGUCAGCAGCCCAGGACGGACGUGGGAGCUGUGGGAAGGGGCAGCAGAGCAGCUGGGAGCCCCGCAUGCAGCUGGCCUUCGGUUUAACAGCGUACAAUGGGGCCUCAGUGCCACGCAUUCCCCAUGAGCUCAGACUUUCCUUGCUUGCAAAGCGCUGUCACUGAGCAGCACUGCCCCAAAAUGCGGCCCCCCAGCAGCGCUCCCCGCUUUGCCGCCCACAGCCCUGCACGCUGUGUGUCUUUUCCCAGCAGCCCUGUGUUAAUUUUAGCUGUGCUGAGGCUCUGGGCAGGCAGCAGGCAUCCCGUCCCAGGAGCCUCAGAGCAAAGCAGUUUGCUGUGGUCUGAGAACUUAACCCUGGUUUGCGGGGGAUUGGGACAUGGCUGGAGCUGCCUGGCAGUGCUGGAGGAAGGGGAGGGUUCUGUCCACACCCCAAGCUCAGAGCAGAGCCAUCAGACCUCCCUGCUUCCUAACACCAAGCCUGAAAACAUUUGCAAACUCUUCCUGAUCCUGCUCGGGGCCACUGGAGAGCUGAGCAGCGACAAAGGGGAAGGCUGUGCAGAGCCACAUGGCUGCUUUUAACCCAGUAACAUCCUCUUUCAUUGGGCCUAAGCCGUUCCUUGUGCUUGGGAGGAACCAAGGAGGCAGCAGGCUGCAUUAAAGCUGGCAAAGCCUGUGUUCAACAGCAGCUCUGUAUUGCCCAAGCUGAAGUUCGGCGAUGCCGUGCCAAGAGAUGAUGCCAACCGUGGGAGGGAACCAAUCCAAAGCUAUGGGAAAAACAUUUUUGAGAAGAAACAUCACCUCUGAAACCACAUAAACAAAUCCAUUUUGACACAACUAAACAGAAAGCUCUAAAAGGAAAGUUUGGGAAAAACAGCACUAAUUGGGUGGUGAUUCAUAUGGUGCCGGUCAGGCUGUGUUUUUGUAAUCUCCAUUCCUGGGGGAUGAUUUUCAAAGCGCAGAGGAAUGUGGAAGCAGCCUGGCCAGAUGUGGGCUGGAAGACAGAGAGGAGCAAACAGUGCUGAGAGCAGAAGGGCAGCAGCAGAAGAGCCGGGGGCUCCCAGAAAAACAGCAAAAUGAAUGGGAUCAUCCCAAAGCAGGGCAUGAGAUGUUUCACCCACUGCCCUGUGCCAGCUGGGAGCAGGGCUGCUUUGCUCAGGUGUCCCAGUGCUGGAGGUGACGCUGUGCCCACAGCAUCUGCUGCAUCUGAGCUGUGUUUUCACUGGGAAGAGCAGAGCAUAAAAGCCACAGCCAGGCAGCUGCAUGAGAAACUAAUCACUUUUAAUCUGGUUAGAAAACUUCAGCCCUUGGGGGAAAACAGCACAGCUUUCUGGAGCUUGGACCACUGGCUGUCAGGUUUGGAAGAAAUAAAUUAAAUUUGUAUUAGGGUCUGCAA